GUCCAACGUUAAUCGGGGCAGGGUGAGUCGACCCCUAAGGCGAGGCCGAAAGGCGUAGUCGAUGGGAAACGGGUUAAUAUUCCCGUACUUGGUGUUACUGCGAAGGGGGGACGGAGAAGGCUAUGUUGGCCGGGCGACGGUUGUCCCGGUUUAAGCGUGUAGGUGUGUGUUCCAGGUAAAUCCGGUUCACUUUAACACUGAGGCGUGACGACGAGGCACUACGGUGCUGAAGCAACAAAUGCCCUGCUUCCAGGAAAAGCCUCUAAGCAUCAGGUAACAUCAAAUCGUACCCCAAACCGACACAGGUGGUCAGGUAGAGAAUACCAAGGCGCUUGAGAGAACUCGGGUGAAGGAACUAGGCAAAAUGGUGCCGUAACUUCGGGAGAAGGCACGCUGACACGUAGGUGAAGUGAUUUACUCAUGGAGCUGAAGUCAGUCGAAGAUACCAGCUGGCUGCAACUGUUUAUUAAAAACACAGCACUGUGCAAACACGAAAGUGGACGUAUACGGUGUGACGCCUGCCCGGUGCCGGAAGGUUAAUUGAUGGGGUCAGCGCAAGCGAAGCUCCUGAUCGAAGCCCCGGUAAACGGCGGCCGUAACUAUAACGGUCCUAAGGUAGCGAAAUUCCUUGUCGGGUAAGUUCCGACCUGCACGAAUGGCGUAAUGAUGGCCAGGCUGUCUCCACCCGAGACUCAGUGAAAUUGAACUCGCUGUGAAGAUGCAGUGUACCCGCGGCAAGACGGAAAGACCCCGUGAACCUUUACUAUAGCUUGACACUGAACAUUGAGCCUUGAUGUGUAGGAUAGGUGGGAGGCUUUGAAGUGUGGACGCCAGUCUGCAUGGAGCCGACCUUGAAAUACCACCCUUUAAUGUUUGAUGUUCUAACGUGGACCCGUUACCCGGGUUGCGGACAGUGUCUGGUGGGUAGUUUGACUGGGGCGGUCUCCUCCUAAAGAGUAACGGAGGAGCACGAAGGUUGGCUAAUCCUGGUCGGACAUCAGGAGGUUAGUGCAAUGGCAUAAGCCAGCUUGACUGCGAGCGUGACGGCGCGAGCAGGUGCGAAAGCAGGUCAUAGUGAUCCGGUGGUUCUGAAUGGAAGGGCCAUCGCUCAACGGAUAAAAGGUACUCCGGGGAUAACAGGCUGAUACCGCCCAAGAGUUCAUAUCGACGGCGGUGUUUGGCACCUCGAUGUCGGCUCAUCACAUCCUGGGGCUGAAGUAGGUCCCAAGGGUAUGGCUGUUCGCCAUUUAAAGUGGUACGCGAGCUGGGUUUAGAACGUCGUGAGACAGUUCGGUCCCUAUCUGCCGUGGGCGCUGGAGAACUGAGGGGGGCUGCUCCUAGUACGAGAGGACCGGAGUGGACGCAUCACUGGUGUUCGGGUUGUCAUGCCAAUGGCACUGCCCGGUAGCUAAAUGCGGAAGAGAUAAGUGCUGAAAGCAUCUAAGCACGAAACUUGCCCCGAG
rnacentral:rRNA from 3 species